rfam:Candidatus Sungbacteria bacterium GWC2_49_10 gwc2_scaffold_12721, whole genome shotgun sequence.
UCCGGGGUCGGCUAACGGUAGGCCGCAUGACUCUGAAUCAUGCAAUCUUGGUUCGAUUCCAAGCCCCGGAG